GGCCGUGUGGCUCAAUGGCAGAGCGUCUGACUACGAUUACCAUAGGGUACAAUCCCUGGAAUGCUAAAUCAGAAGGUCGCAGGUUCGACCCCUGUCUCGGUCA